UUGGAUUUACCGUUAUUUUUUACUAUUUUAUACAAUAUACAAAGUUAUAUUUCUAAUAACUCAAUAUAUCACUUUGGCAACUUUUUAUAUUUUUUGGUGGAGUUAAAGUAUUAGCAGCAAUGAAGAAUGCAUUUUACAAUAGUUGAGCCAUAGCUAACAUUUUUUAAAAUUUUAUUUUAAAAAUUAUAAUAAGUUACCAAAACAAAUAUUAAUAUAUUUUUUUACUCAUUCUUUUUUCACCUCCACACAUCUUGCUUACAGUUGUAGCCCAUUCGUCUUUCAUUAUAAGUUUAUUUAUUUAUUUUUUUUCAAUCUUUUUUUCACCUCCACACGUUUUGCUUUGAAGUCUUGUCACUUGGUUCUUGACUGACUACUUUUCCACUUUCAAGUGAGUGUACCAAAACUAAAGGGAGAGACAAACACGUUGAGAAAUAAAUGAAGAAGAUGAAGGGGCUGUAGAAACAGAGGCCGGCGAAACAAAGAAAAAUAAGAAGAAAUGCGUAGCAGAGACAAAUACGAAGAAGAGAAUGAAAAACCGACGUAAGAGUGAGGAAACAGAAUAUUUUUUCAAUCUUUUUUUUUUUUUUUUUUCAAAUUCUCUGUUACAAUUUUUUCUUUUUUAGAUUUUAGUUCAAAAUUUGUUUGGCAUAAAAAUUUUAAGGGUGUUCCCGAUAGGGCUUGAGGGUGUUCCUAUUUUUUCUUUAAGGGUAAACAAAUAAAAAAAUUUAAAUUAUUAUAUAUAAUUUUUGUUUUUUUUUUUAAGUCAGGGUGUUCCUGGGAACACCCUGCACUCUGAGUGGCGCCGCCACUGCCUUCCAAUUGUAUUACUAUUCUGGUCUCCUUCCAUUAAUGGUUGUAUUUCCCUGGAAGGGUUCUUGACACCAACAAUUGAGGACGUGUUUGCUCUUCUCGAGCUCUCUCCCGUUGGAAGAAAUUAUCAACCAAAUAUGUUCAAACAAGAUGUAGACACCAAAUUUUCACCAAAAGCAAGCACAGAGUAUGGUGACUUAUUUCACUGAGAUAGCAAAGAGGGUGGACUAGUCAACUUUCAAGAAGAACUUAUGUUUUACCUUGUCUGGAUAGCAUGUUUUUUCCUUGGCGAGUUGUACCGUGCCAUGUUUAGAUUUUUUGAACAGCCUAGCCUUGGAUGAGGAGGCCCCCUUUGGUCCAUACAAAUCUGGCUCUCUACUUAUUUCCUAAGUUUAGCUCGUUUAUCUUGAAUCUUACCUGAGCUUGCCACAUACAAACAGAUGUGGAUGGAGGAGCGUUAUCUUCAAGAAUUGAAGGCUCGACACAGCAACCUGAAGAAAGGAUAAAUCCUCAAAGGAAGUCAGCAACUAAGAAGAGAAAUCGGCCAAGGAAGACAACAGCCAAGAAAUCCUCAAUACCUUGUAUUCCAUCUAAGUUUGAGAAUAGUGGUAAUUCAGAAGAAUUAGAUGCCCAAGAAACACUAACUCAGGCUAUUCAACUAGUUAGAAGAAAACAAACUGAUGAUUCUAAGUCUUCCUUUGAACCAAUGAAGUCUAAUAGAGAAAAGAAAAAGAGAGCAUAAGAGAUCUUUGAUAGACAAGAUGAUGAAAAUAUAGCAACUUAAGUGAGUAUAAAAGAAGAAGUUCCAUAAUCAGAAGUAGUGGAAUAGAGAGGUGCAUUUAAAUAUCAAUCUACGGAAAAUACCACCAAAAGAAAUGAAAGUGAUGAAGAAGCACAAAAAAGGAAAAUAAGAAAAAGAAGAUGAGGCCAAGAAGGGAGAAGAAGCCAUUAAAAUAGAGAAGUUGAAGAAAAAGAAGAGAUGCAAAGAAAAAGAAGAGAGAAGAGGAACAGAAUAAGAAACAAGAAGAGCUGAGAAAAAGAAGAAAAGUUAAAGAUGUUAGAGCUUAGUCUUGAAAAGAGAAAGGAAAAAGAAACAAGAGAAAAGUCAAUGGAAGAAAGAGAAGUCUCAAACUUGGCCAAUUCUGGGAACAAAAGUGUGGAAGGGUAUAAUGAGGAUUCUGAUCAGACAUUAAUAAUUUGAGAUGGUAUUGAUACCAAUCUUGUUGUUAUUGCCCCAGCUAAAGGGUCUCAUAAUGCAGUGCAAUCCUCUAUGUCUUUAGGUGCUAUCAAGGUUUCAAAUGCAGAAGAAAUUGUUCCAACCUCUACACCAGCCACCAACCUUGUAUCUAUAAGCAUCCAUUCUCUUUUCCCUUCUUUCUUUUUACAUCUAUGUUUUGUUUCAUGGUUCACUACCCUUGUUUUUAAACUUAGGAGAUUUCUAUUCUCCAACAAGUUGAUCAUGACCACCUUGUUAAGGAUGUGUCUACAAAAAGUGACACUGCUGUCAAAUCUCUUUCAACCAAUGCUUUUUCAAGUAUCUCUUCUGACCAAUUGAAGAAGUCUUUUGGGAGCCUAAAGAAAUACAUGUAUAUUCCAAUUACUCAAGUCAUUCUCAAUACAAACACCAAACAGAACUUUGAAGUUUUAAGUUUCUUGCUUUUUCCUCACAUUUAAUAAAAUGAUGUAAGCAAAUAGAUGAUGCUCACUCAAUAUAUUUUUGAAAAGCAUUAAUACCAUAGUUUCCCAGCUCUUUUAAGCCAAGGCAACUUCGAAGCAGGCAGAGAAGCUACUUUGCAACUUAUGAUAAGUACAAGUCUCAACUUAAAUUUUUUCUAAUUUUAAGCUGGAUGAAGCAUCUAAAAAUAAAAAACAUAAAGAGUAAGAAUUGAGAGAUCUUCAAAAACAACUUGAGGUCGCGAGAUAGAACACAAUUAAGGCUCAUUAUUAUGUUCAACAAUUCUUGCUCCAAAGAGAUAGUGUUGAUGAAGCUCUUAAGACCUUGUCCAAAUCUUAAGCAAAAAUUUCAACUCUCUAGGAAGAAGUUACUUCUCUCACUGAAAGCAACAAUUUUGAAUGGAAUGCCCUAGAGACUUUAACUUUGAUAUGUAGAAUUUUUUCUUUACUAUUUGUUUUCAGUCUGUCUUGUAUUUUUAGGCUUCUGAUGUAAGCCUUUUUCAUAUGCGUUAUAAUUUUUUAAGCUUUCGG